rnacentral:rRNA from 1 species
UGGGGAAUAUUGCACAAUGGGCGCAAGCCUGAUGCAGCCAUGCCGCGUGUAUGAAGAAGGCCUUCGGGUUGUAAAGUACUUUCAGCGAGGAGGAAGGCGUUGUGGUUAAUAACCGCAACGAUUGACGUUACUCGCAGAAGAAGCACCGGCUAACUCCGUGCCAGCAGCCGCGGUAAUAAGGAGGGUGCAAGCGUUAAUCGGAAUUACUGGGCGUAAAGCGCACGCAGGCGGUCUGUCAAGUCGGAUGUGAAAUCCCCGGGCUCAACCUGGGAACUGCAUCCGAAACUGGCAGGCUAGAGUCUUGUAGAGGGGGGUAGAAUUCCAGGUGUAGCGGUGAAAUGCGUAGAGAUCUGGAGGAAUACCGGUGGCGAAGGCGGCCCCCUGGACAAAGACUGACGCUCAGGUGCGAAAGCGUGGGGAGCAAACA